rnacentral:rRNA from 1 species
GUGGGGAAUUUUGGACAAUGGGCGCAAGCCUGAUCCAGCAAUGCCGCGUGCAGGAAGAAGGCCUUCGGGUUGUAAACUGCUUUUGUACGGAACGAAACGGUCCGGGUUAAUACCCUGGGCUAAUGACGGUACCGUAAGAAUAAGCACCGGCUAACUACGUGCCAGCAGCCGCGGUAAUACGUAGGGUGCAAGCGUUAAUCGGAAUUACUGGGCGUAAAGCGUGCGCAGGCGGUUUUGUAAGACAGGCGUGAAAUCCCCGGGCUCAACCUGGGAAUUGCGCUUGUGACUGCAAGGCUGGAGUGCGGCAGAGGGGGAUGGAAUUCCGCGUGUAGCAGUGAAAUGCGUAGAUAUGCGGAGGAACACCGAUGGCGAAGGCAAUCCCCUGGGCCUGCACUGACGCUCAUGCACGAAAGCGUGGGGAGCAAGCAGGAUUAGAAACCCGUGUAGUCC